UGGGGAAUAUUGCACAAUGGGCGCAAGCCUGAUGCAGCCAUGCCGCGUGUAUGAAGAAGGCCUUCGGGUUGUAAAGUACUUUCAGCGAGGAGGAAGGCGUUGUGGUUAAUAACCGCAACGAUUGACGUUACUCGCAGAAGAAGCACCGGCUAACUCCGUGCCAGCAGCCGCGGUAAUACGGAGGGUGCAAGCGUUAAUCGGAAUUACUGGGCGUAAAGCGCACGCAGGCGGUCUAUCAAGUCGGAUGUGAAAUCCCCGGGCUCAACCUGGGAACUGCAUCCGAAACUGGCAGGCUAGAGUCUUGUAGAGGGGGGUAGAAUUCCAGGUGUAGCGGUGAAAUGCGUAGAGAUCUGGAGGAAUACCGGUGGCGAAGGCGGCCCCCUGGACAAAGACUGACGCUCAGGUGCGAAAGCGUGGGGAGCAAACA
rnacentral:rRNA from 1 species